ACACAGAUAGAUCAGCCGAGGGUAAAAACAUUUCAGCAGCACAAAACACCCAAACAAGUCAACACUUUAAGAUGAGAUGAAACUUUGCUAAGUCAUUUCAGGACAUCAAGCAAGCAUCAACAAACUGGAGUCUGAGGGCCUUAUAUCAGCAGUCGAGACAGAGUGUGAUCCAAGUGGAAAGUGGACUCACCGAUGCCAGAGCCCACACUGAGAUGAAAACUUACAUUUAGGAUGUUGGCAUCGCUGCUCUCCAGGCCCUGUACCAGCAGCACUGCAAAAUUGUCCGUCUGUAAAGACACCGUCCCUUUAGGAGCUCCCCUCCCCUUGGAAACUGA